UGGCUCAGGACGAACGCUGGCGGCGUGCCUAAUACAUGCAAGUAGAACGCUGAGGAUUGGUGCUUGCACUAAUCCAAAGAGUUGCGAACGGGUGAGUAACGCGUAGGUAACCUACCUCAUAGCGGGGGAUAACUAUUGGAAACGAUAGCUAAUACCGCAUGACACUAGAGUACACAUGUACUCAAUUUAAAAGGAGCAAAAGCUUCACUAUGAGAUGGACCUGCGUUGUAUUAGCUAGUUGGUGAGGUAACGGCUCACCAAGGCGACGAUACAUAGCCGACCUGAGAGGGUGAUCGGCCACACUGGGACUGAGACACGGCCCAGACUCCUACGGGAGGCAGCAGUAGGGAAUCUUCGGCAAUGGACGGAAGUCUGACCGAGCAACGCCGCGUGAGUGAAGAAGGUUUUCGGAUCGUAAAGCUCUGUUGUUAGAGAAGAACGGUAAUGGGAGUGGAAAAUCCAUUACGUGACGGUAACUAACCAGAAAGGGACGGCUAACUACGUGCCAGC
rnacentral:rRNA from 1 species